UUAAGCGACUAAGCGUACACGGUGGAUGCCCUGGCAGUCAGAGGCGAUGAAGGACGUGCUAAUCUGCGAUAAGCGUCGGUAAGGUGAUAUGAACCGUUAUAACCGGCGAUUUCCGAAUGGGGAAACCCAGUGUGUUUCGACACACUAUCAUUAACUGAAUCCAUAGGUUAAUGAGGCGAACCGGGGGAACUGAAACAUCUAAGUACCCCGAGGAAAAGAAAUCAACCGAGAUUCCCCCAGUAGCGGCGAGCGAACGGGGAGGAGCCCAGAGCCUGAAUCAGUGUGUGUGUUAGUGGAAGCGUCUGGAAAGGCGCGCGAUACAGGGUGACAGCCCCGUACACAAAAAUGCACAUGCUGUGAGCUCGAUGAGUAGGGCGGGACACGUGGUAUCCUGUCUGAAUAUGGGGGGACCAUCCUCCAAGGCUAAAUACUCCUGACUGACCGAUAGUGAACCAGUACCGUGAGGGAAAGGCGAAAAGAACCCCGGCGAGGGGAGUGAAAAAGAACCUGAAACCGUGUACGUACAAGCAGUGGGAGCACGCUUAGGCGUGUGACUGCGUACCUUUUGUAUAAUGGGUCAGCGACUUAUAUUCUGUAGCAAGGUUAACCGAAUAGGGGAGCCGAAGGGAAACCGAGUCUUAACUGGGCGUUAAGUUGCAGGGUAUAGACCCGAAACCCGGUGAUCUAGCCAUGGGCAGGUUGAAGGUUGGGUAACACUAACUGGAGGACCGAACCGACUAAUGUUGAAAAAUUAGCGGAUGACUUGUGGCUGGGGGUGAAAGGCCAAUCAAACCGGGAGAUAGCUGGUUCUCCCCGAAAGCUAUUUAGGUAGCGCCUCGUGAAUUCAUCUCCGGGGGUAGAGCACUGUUUCGGCAAGGGGGUCAUCCCGACUUACCAACCCGAUGCAAACUGCGAAUACCGGAGAAUGUUAUCACGGGAGACACACGGCGGGUGCUAACGUCCGUCGUGAAGAGGGAAACAACCCAGACCGCCAGCUAAGGUCCCAAAGUCAUGGUUAAGUGGGAAACGAUGUGGGAAGGCCCAGACAGCCAGGAUGUUGGCUUAGAAGCAGCCAUCAUUUAAAGAAAGCGUAAUAGCUCACUGGUCGAGUCGGCCUGCGCGGAAGAUGUAACGGGGCUAAACCAUGCACCGAAGCUGCGGCAGCGACGCUUAUGCGUUGUUGGGUAGGGGAGCGUUCUGUAAGCCUGUGAAGGUGUACUGUGAGGUAUGCUGGAGGUAUCAGAAGUGCGAAUGCUGACAUAAGUAACGAUAAAGCGGGUGAAAAGCCCGCUCGCCGGAAGACCAAGGGUUCCUGUCCAACGUUAAUCGGGGCAGGGUGAGUCGACCCCUAAGGCGAGGCCGAAAGGCGUAGUCGAUGGGAAACAGGUUAAUAUUCCUGUACUUGGUGUUACUGCGAAGGGGGGACGGAGAAGGCUAUGUUGGCCGGGCGACGGUUGUCCCGGUUUAAGCGUGUAGGCUGGUUUUCCAGGCAAAUCCGGAAAAUCAAGGCUGAGGCGUGAUGACGAGGCACUACGGUGCUGAAGCAACAAAUGCCCUGCUUCCAGGAAAAGCCUCUAAGCAUCAGGUAACAUCAAAUCGUACCCCAAACCGACACAGGUGGUCAGGUAGAGAAUACCAAGGCGCUUGAGAGAACUCGGGUGAAGGAACUAGGCAAAAUGGUGCCGUAACUUCGGGAGAAGGCACGCUGAUAUGUAGGUGAAGUCCCUUGCGGAUGGAGCUGAAAUCAGUCGAAGAUACCAGCUGGCUGCAACUGUUUAUUAAAAACACAGCACUGUGCAAACACGAAAGUGGACGUAUACGGUGUGACGCCUGCCCGGUGCCGGAAGGUUAAUUGAUGGGGUCAGCGCAAGCGAAGCUCUUGAUCGAAGCCCCGGUAAACGGCGGCCGUAACUAUAACGGUCCUAAGGUAGCGAAAUUCCUUGUCGGGUAAGUUCCGACCUGCACGAAUGGCGUAAUGAUGGCCAGGCUGUCUCCACCCGAGACUCAGUGAAAUUGAACUCGCUGUGAAGAUGCAGUGUACCCGCGGCAAGACGGAAAGACCCCGUGAACCUUUACUAUAGCUUGACACUGAACAUUGAGCCUUGAUGUGUAGGAUAGGUGGGAGGCUUGGAAGUGUGGACGCCAGUCUGCAUGGAGCCGACCUUGAAAUACCACCCUUUAAUGUUUGAUGUUCUAACGUUGACCCGUAAUCCGGGUUGCGGACAGUGUCUGGUGGGUAGUUUGACUGGGGCGGUCUCCUCCUAAAGAGUAACGGAGGAGCACGAAGGUUGGCUAAUCCUGGUCGGACAUCAGGAGGUUAGUGCAAUGGCAUAAGCCAGCUUGACUGCGAGCGUGACGGCGCGAGCAGGUGCGAAAGCAGGUCAUAGUGAUCCGGUGGUUCUGAAUGGAAGGGCCAUCGCUCAACGGAUAAAAGGUACUCCGGGGAUAACAGGCUGAUACCGCCCAAGAGUUCAUAUCGACGGCGGUGUUUGGCACCUCGAUGUCGGCUCAUCACAUCCUGGGGCUGAAGUAGGUCCCAAGGGUAUGGCUGUUCGCCAUUUAAAGUGGUACGCGAGCUGGGUUUAGAACGUCGUGAGACAGUUCGGUCCCUAUCUGCCGUGGGCGCUGGAGAACUGAGGGGGGCUGCUCCUAGUACGAGAGGACCGGAGUGGACGCAUCACUGGUGUUCGGGUUGUCAUGCCAAUGGCACUGCCCGGUAGCUAAAUGCGGAAGAGAUAAGUGCUGAAAGCAUCUAAGCACGAAACUUGCCCCGAGAUGAGUUCUCCCUGACCCUUUAAGGGUCCUGAAGGAACGUUGAAGACGACGACGUUGAUAGGCCGGGUGUGUAAGCGCAGCGAUGCGUUGAGCUAACCGGUACUAAUGAACCGUGAGGCUUAACCUU
rnacentral:rRNA from 1 species